GGGAAUCAAUACAUAUGAUUACAUUGAUCAUAGCGUUGAGAGAGUAGGAACAAGAAGGAAGCGUGGUUAACAAGUCCUCAAAUGUCACCAGCAAGCUCUAUCGCCGGUUUGAGCAACACCAGCUCAUUUAAUAAUUUCCAUCAAGGAGCUUAGUAUACACCCUAGGCCUGGAAAAGUUAACCUAAGCAGGGCAGCAUCCAUAGGAUAUCAGAGUUCUUGUUCUUGGCAUUGCCUUCCCUUGACAAGUUGCUUCGCCCAACGAAUUGAGGAAUUCUAAGAUGACAUGGUAAUGGAUGGUGCUUAUCAUGUACGUAAUCUAAAGCAAUUGAUGACAUGGUAAUGGAUGGUGCUUAUCAUGAACCGUGGGGUCUUCAUUCUUUUGUGAGCAUCAUGUUGGCUGUUGGCUGGAGAGAGUUAAUUUUUACAGCUGCAGGCAACAAUGGGCUUAAAGUUAAAUAAGGACGAAGGCCCCACAGGUGGUGGCAGCAACACCAAGACUUCCAGCAGCACCACGGCCACCACCUCAUCUGAUGUGGAAACCCUUGAAGAAGAUAUAAGAAUUAUGGAAGAGUACAAAUAAUUGUAUCAACAAUCACUAGCUUUAAACAACCAUGCUUUUAAAAGGGAUAUCUAUUGGCACACCAGCCAAUCUAUCCACAGACUUUGCUUUUUCAAUACGACCCGUAUAGGCCUAUACGAAUCGUAUUGAAGGUGUCGAUUUAAUGAUUCAGGUGUGGCAAUAAUACGACCCUUUUAAAAUG
rnacentral:lncRNA from 1 species